rnacentral:rRNA from 1 species
AUUGAACGCUGGCGGCAGGCCUAACACAUGCCAGUCGAGCGGAUGAAGGGAGCUUGCUCCUGGAUUCAGCGGCGGACGGGUGAGUAAUGCCUAGGAAUCUGCCUGGUAGUGGGGGAUAACGUCCGGAAACGGGCGCUAAUACCGCAUACGUCCUGAGGGAGAAAGUGGGGGAUCUUCGGACCUCACGCUAUCAGAUGAGCCUAGGUCGGAUUAGCUAGUUGGUGGGGUAAAGGCCUACCAAGGCGACGAUCCGUAACUGGUCUGAGAGGAUGAUCAGUCACACUGGAACUGAGACACGGUCCGGACUCCUACGGGAGGCAGCAGUGGGGAAUAUUGGACAAUGGGCGAAAGCCUGAUCCAGCCAUGCCGCGUGUGUGAAGAAGGUCUUCGGAUUGUAAAGCACUUUAAGUUGGGAGGAAGGGCAGUAAGUUAAUACCUUGCUGUUUUGACGUUACCAACAGAAUAAGCACCGGCUAACUUCGUG